UACGUAGGUGGCAAGCGUUAUCCGGAAUUAUUGGGCGUAAAGAGUGCGUAGGUGGUUUCUUAAGUCAGAGGUGAAAGGCUAUGGCUCAACCGUAGUAAGCCUUUGAAACUGAGAAACUUGAGUGCAGGAGAGGAGAGUGGAAUUCCUAGUGUAGCGGUGAAAUGCGUAGAUAUUAGGAGGAACACCAGUUGCGAAGGCGGCUCUCUGGACUGUAACUAACACUGAGGCACGAAAGCGUGGGAGCAAACAGGAUUAGAUACCCGGUACGGUCCUCGA
rnacentral:rRNA from 1 species